rnacentral:rRNA from 1 species
GAUAAACGCUAGCGGCAGGCUUAACACAUGCAAGUCGAGGGGCAGCGUAGAUUGUAGCAAUACAAUUGGUGGCGACCGGCGCACGGGUGCGUAACGCGUAUGCAACCUACCCGUCACAGGGGGAUAAUCCGGAGAAAUCUGGUCUAAUACCCCAUAACAUAUGGAUCGGCAUCGGUUCAUGUUGAAAUUUUCGGAGGUGACGGAUGGGCAUGCGUAGCAUUAGCUUGUUGGUGAGGUAACGGCUCACCAAGGCGACGAUGCUUAGGGGGACUGAGAGGUUUUCCCCCCACACUGGUACUGAGACACGGACCAGACUCCUACGGGAGGCAGCAGUGAGGAAUGUUGGUCAAUGGGCGCAAGCCUGAACCAGCCAUGCCGCGUGCAGGAUGACGGCUCUAUGAGUUGUAAACUGCUUUUGUACGAGGGUAAAGUGGGUUACGUGUAACCUUUUGAAAGUAUCGUACGAAUAAGGAUCGGCUAACUCCGUGCCAGCCGCCGCAGUAA